rnacentral:siRNA from 1 species
UGCAAGUAAUUAUUUUCCACUA